UCUAAAACAGGGAUAAUCACAUGUAAUUUUUAGGAAAGCUUCCAUGAUUAGGAAUUUAUAUCAGGAAAGUUUAUGGGGAAACUCAAGGGAUCUUGAAUGAUCAUUACUAAAGCUUAUAUACAGAUAUGGAAUUUUAGUACAAUGUGUGUCUAACCAAAGUUUUCACUUUGGUUAGACUUUAAAUUCUUUUUCAUUUGUCAUUUCUUUAUAAGUUCUUAUUUUAUUAUUAUUGAACAAGCUUUAUGUUUUAUUAGGAAUUAUUGUCAUAAUUGGACUUAUUUUCUCCACAAUAUAUACUUUUUUCUUCUUGAAUUGUCGUUCUUAUAUUUCGCGUUAUUGCUUUGAUUUUCAGGAUCUUGAAAAGAGCGAGUAUGGGUUUCUCUGAUUCAGUCCUAUAAGUCUUAUUGUCUAAACGUCCGGAGAUACUCUACGUAUCUUUCGGUUAGAUGAUAUACUUUAUUGGAUGAGAAGAAUCCCUGUUGCGGUUAUUGUAUCUUUGAUACAACUCAUCUACGUUUGUAGACCCUGACAAAAAAAAAAAAAAAAAAAAAAAAAAUCAC
rnacentral:lncRNA from 1 species